rnacentral:tRNA from 1 species
GGGCCUAUAGCUCAAUGGCAGAGCAGCUGGCUCAUAACCGGUUGGUUCUUGGUUCGAGUCCAAGUGGGCCCA